rnacentral:lncRNA from 1 species
UUCAAAACAAAAACCACUUUUAAAGUCCCUACACUUAACCAUUUUCAACCUACCAAGUCACCUAACAUAACACAUUCAAAACAAAAAAUCAUCUGUAAAAUUCCAGCACUUAACCAUUUUUAACCUACCAAGUCACCAAAGAUAAACACCUUCAAAAAAAAAUCACCUUCAGAGUCCGUACAUUUAACCAUUUUCAUCGUACCAAGUCACCAAAUAAGACCACUUUCAAAAUUAAAAAACACCUUUAAUGUUACUACACUUAACCAUUUUCAGCCUACCAAG